rnacentral:rRNA from 1 species
GAUGAACGCUAGCGGCAGGCCUAAUACAUGCAAGUCGGACGGGAUUCAGGAGCUUGCUUCUGAUGAUAGUGGCGCACGGGUGCGUAACACGUAUGUAACCUACCUUUAUCAGGGGGAUAGCCUCUCGAAAGAGAGAUUAAGCCCGCAUAAAAUCACAGCACAGCAUUGUGUAAUGAUCAAAUAUUUAUAGGAUAAAGAUGGGCAUGCGGAACAUUAGCUAGAUGGCGGGGUAACGGCCCACCAUGGCGACGAUGUUUAGGGGAUCUGAGAGGAUGGCCCCUCAGAGUGGUACCGGGACAAGGACCAGAGACAUACGGGAGGGAGCAGUAAGGAAUGUUGGUGAAUGGGAGGAAGCAUGAACCGGCCAUGCCGGGUGCAGGAAGACGGCCUUACGGGUUGUAAACUGCUUGUAUACGGGAAUAAACCCAGAUACGUGUAUCUGGCUGAAGGUACUGGAAGAAUAAGGAUCGGCUAACUACGUG